CGGGGUGGAUUAGUGGCGAACGGGUGAGUAACACGUGGGCAAUCUGCCCUUCACUCUGGGACAAGCCCUGGAAACGGGGUCUAAUACCGGAUAACACUCUGUCCCGCAUGGGACGGGGUUAAAAGCUCCGGCGGUGAAGGAUGAGCCCGCGGCCUAUCAGCUUGUUGGUGGGGUAAUGGCCUACCAAGGCGACGACGGGUAGCCGGCCUGAGAGGGCGACCGGCCACACUGGGACUGAGACACGGCCCAGACUCCUACGGGAGGCAGCAGUGGGGAAUAUUGCACAAUGGGCGAAAGCCUGAUGCAGCGACGCCGCGUGAGGGAUGACGGCCUUCGGGUUGUAAACCUCUUUCAGCAGGGAAGAAGCGAAAGUGACGGUACCUGCAGAAGAAGCGCCGGCUAACUACGUGCCAGCAGCCGCGGUAAUACGUAGGGCGCAAGCGUUGUCCGGAAUUAUUGGGCGUAAAGAGCUCGUAGGCGGCUUGUCACGUCGGAUGUGAAAGCCCGGGGCUUAACCCCGGGUCUGCAUUCGAUACGGGCUAGCUAGAGUGUGGUAGGGGAGAUCGGAAUUCCUGGUGUAGCGGUGAAAUGCGCAGAUAUCAGGAGGAACACCGGUGGCGAAGGCGGAUCUCUGGGCCAUUACUGACGCUGAGGAGCGAAAGCGUGGGGAGCGAACAGGAUUAGAUACCCUGGUAGUCCA
rnacentral:rRNA from 1 species